GAGGAAGUAGUAAAUGACUCUACCGGUAAUCUUUCAAGCCAAAUCCCUGACAUAAAUAUGGAAGAAACUCCCUCAACUACUAUGCCUAGAAGAAGUGGGAGGAACACACAGACACCAUCUUAUUUAGAUGAUUAUUUUGUGUUUCUAGGGGAAGUACACUCUAAAGUGUCUUUAGAGGAAGAACCUAAAACUUACAAACAAGCAAUUGAUCGUGAGGAAUCUGGACUAUGGUUGGAAGCUAUGCGGGAAGAACUAAACUCCAUGGAAACAAAUGGUGUUUGGGAACUUAUUGAUUUACCCCAAAACCGCCAGGCCAUAGGAUCUAAAUGGAUAUUCAAAAGGAAACUCAAUGCUUCAGGAGGCGUGGAAAAAUAUAAAGCUCGAUUAGUUGCUAAGGGAUAUACACAAAAGGAAGGAGUAGACUUUGUGGAAACAUUUUCUCCUGUUGCAAAGUUCACUUCUAUUCGCAUCUUAUGUGCC
rnacentral:rRNA from 1 species